rnacentral:rRNA from 1 species
CCUACGGGGGGCAGCAGUGGGGAAUAUUGGACAAUGGGGGCAACCCUGAUCCAGCCAUGCCGCGUGUGUGAAGAAGGCCCUCGGGUUGUAAAGCACUUUCAGUGAGGAAGAACGCCUGGUGGUUAAUACCCAUCAGGAAAGACAUCACUCACAGAAGAAGCACCGGCUAACUCCGUGCCAGCAGCCGCGGUAAUACGGAGGGUGCGAGCGUUAAUCGGAAUUACUGGGCGUAAAGCGCGCGUAGGUGGCUUGAUAAGCCGGUUGUGAAAGCCCCGGGCUCAACCUGGGAACGGCAUCCGGAACUGUCAAGCUAGAGUGCAGGAGAGGAAGGUAGAAUUCCUGGUGUAGCGGUGAAAUGCGUAGAGAUCGGGAGGAAUACCAGUGGCGAAGGCGGCCUUCUGGACUGACACUGACACUGAGGUGCGAAAGCGUGGGUAGCAAACAGGAUUAGAUACCCUUGUAGUC